rnacentral:rRNA from 1 species
GACGAACGCUGGCGGCGUGCUUAACACAUGCAAGUCGAACGGAGAAGCCCUGCAUUUGUGGGGUGCUCGAGUGGCGAACGGGUGAGUAACACGUGAGUAACCUGCCCUUGACUUUGGGAUAACUUCAGGAAACUGGGGCUAAUACCGGAUAUGAGCUCCUUCUGCAUGGUGUGGGUUGGAAAAUUUCGGCGGUUGGGGAUGGACGUGCGGUUUAGCAGCUUGUUGGUGGGGUAGUGGCGUACCAAGGCUUUGACGGGAAGCCGGACUGAGAGGGUGACAGGCCCCAUUGGGACUGAGAAACGGCCAAGACUCCUACGGGAGGAAGCAGUGAGAGUUAUUGCGAACUGGGCGGCAGCAGGAAGCAGCAACUCCGCGUGCGGGAUGACUGCCGUCAGGUUGUAAACCGCUUUAGACUGUGAAGAAGAGUAAGUGACGGUAAUGGGUAAAGAAGCAACGGCUAACUACGUG